GUAACUCAGCUUCACUGUAGCGUGCGUGAACAGUGCAUUUCCGUCACUAUUCUCACCGGAAUCCGGUGGCGGAUUAUUACAAUUUUGGUGUCUCCACACUCUCCUUCGUGAGGUGAACACCUUCCUCUUAUUGUUUUUCUAAAAUCAUAAUCCAAACGCAACAGAUCUUAAAUUUUUCAUUUCUUACUGUUCAUUCAAAUUCUGGUUCGUUCUGUUGAAUCUCUCGGCUUGCUAACUAAUUUUUUGGAUUCGAAUCUAUAUACAUCUACAAUCAUACGACCUCCAGAUCGUUUGUUCACAACAUUUCUUUCGUUUGUCCAAAAUGAUGUAUGAUCUCGUGUCUCAUUGGUAGUAUCUUGAAGAGUUCACGCGAUUUUGGCAGCCAUGUCUGCGCAGAUCUCUCCCCAGCCUUUGGCUGUGGGAGAGAUUGUUCAAAAUUCCGUAACUACAACUUCAAAAGAAUUUGAAUAACCAUCGUAUGCAUCUGUUACUCAAACUAAGCAGACAGUUUCGACAAAGAUCGAGCUUUGUGCAGUCAACUUCGAACAUGAGCAUCCUGUAAUCCAAUUCACAAUGAAAGAUAUU
rnacentral:lncRNA from 1 species